UGGCUGUUCUUUCAGUGGGAUGGCUUCUGUUUCUAUUGGUUUCAUCCAGGGCUAUGACGCAACCAAUCAGUCCUUUAGAUGCUUAGAAGGCAACCAAAAGAAGGCUUUUGCACUGGCGAUGAGAGGUUGCAGUGUUGCAGUUAAUGUUCGAAUUGGUUAGU